GAUGAACGCUGGCGGCGUGCUUAACACAUGCAAGUCGAACGGUGAAGGCGGAGCUUGCUCUGCUGGAUCAGUGGCGAACGGGUGAGUAACACGUGAGCAAUCUGCCCCUGACUCUGGGAUAAGCGCUGGAAACGGCGUCUAAUACUGGAUACGAGCUGCGAAGGCAUCUUCAGCAGCUGGAAAGAAUUUCGGUCAGGGAUGAGCUCGCGGCCUAUCAGCUUGUUGGUGAGGUAAUGGCUCACCAAGGCGUCGACGGGUAGCCGGCCUGAGAGGGUGACCGGCCACACUGGGACUGAGACACGGCCCAGACUCCUACGGGAGGCAGCAGUGGGGAAUAUUGUACAAUGGGCGAAAGCCUGAUGCAGCAACGCCGCGUGAGGGACGACGGCCUUCGGGUUGUAAACCUCUUUUAGCAGGGAAGAAGCGAAAGUGACGGUACCUGCAGAAAAAGCGCCGGCUAACUACGUG
rnacentral:rRNA from 1 species